rnacentral:rRNA from 1 species
GACACGGCCCAGACUCCUACGGGAGGCAGCAGUGGGGAAUAUUGGACAAUGGGCGAAAGCCUGAUCCAGCAAUGCCGCGUGUGUGAAGAAGGUCUUCGGAUUGUAAAGCACUUUCGACGGGGACGAUGAUGACGGUACCCGUAGAAGAAGCCCCGGCUAACUUCGUGCCAGCAGCCGCGGUAAUACGAAGGGGGCUAGCGUUGCUCGGAUUGACUGGGCGUAAAGGGCGCGUAGGCGGCUUGUACAGUCAGACGUGAAAUUCCUGGGCUCAACCUGGGGGCUGCGUUUGAUACGUGCAGGCUUGAGUUCGGAAGAGGGUCGUGGAAUUCCCAGUGUAGAGGUGAAAUUCGUAGAUAUUGGGAAGAACACCGGUGGCGAAGGCGGCGACCUGGUCCGAUACUGACGCUGAGGCGCGAAAGCGUGGGGAGCAAACAGGAUUAGAUACCCUGGUAGUCCACGCCGUAAACGAUGGGUGCUAGACGUUGGCGAGCUUGCUCGUCAGUGUCGCAGCUAACGCGUUAAGCACCCCGCCUGGGGAGUACGGCCGCAAGG